AUACUAACCUGGCAGGGGAGACACCAUGAUCAAGAAAGUGGUUCACCCAGGGCGAGGUUCACCUGGCCAUGCUGACCCCUGCAAUUCCCCCAAAUGUGGGAAUUUUGACUGCAUAAUUUAUGGUAGUAGGGGACUGCGUUCGCGCACUCCCCUG
ensembl:snRNA U1 U1 spliceosomal RNA